UUCUUCGUGUACUUCCAGUAAGUUCAUUUUUUGUUAUGUUGGCAUAUGAGUUAUCAUAGUUUCAUUCACCGAAUUCAAUUAGUUAAUUACUUUUUGUUCAAUACAUCAGAAAUUCAGAAUUUAGGAGUAUUUUUAUUUUUAUUUUUUUCCUUAUUUUUGAAAAUAGCAAAUCAGAUGACUAUAUAUUUUUUUUUGAAAACUUCUUAUAGUCUUUAACUAUAACAGUAAGUUUAAUUCCAGUGAUAUAGGCGUUGCCUUUUUAAUAAGUAUAAUCAAUAGAAGAGUUUUUAUUUCUUUUUAUUCUUUCAUAAUAUGUUAAAUUUUUU
rnacentral:lncRNA from 1 species